rnacentral:tRNA from 1 species
GUCUCCGUAGCUCAGUUGGAUAGAGCGACCGCCUCCUAAGCGGUAGGCCGGAGGUUCGACUCCUCUCGGGGACACCA